rnacentral:rRNA from 1 species
GACAGAGGUGCCAAGCGUUAGGCGGAAUCACUGGGCUUAAAGCGUGUGUAGGCGGAUUCCUAAGUACCUUGUGAAAUCCCACGGCUCAACCGUGGAACUGCUCGGUAUACUGGGUAUCUUGAGCCACCUAGGGGCGAGCGGAACAAAUGGUGGAGCGGUGAAAUGCGUAGAUAUCAUUUGGAACGCCAAUGGUGAAAACAGCUCGCUGGGGGUGUGCUGACGCUGAGACACGAAAGCCAGGGGAGCAAACGGG